AGAUGCCCCCAGAUGGCAGGACACACAAGGGACACAUAUCUCCGGAAAGAGGAGGCACAUGGUUGGGCAAUCUCGACCCAUGAAGGGGGAAAAGAAAAGGGCUAAACUGAAGCUAGUGCAGCUUUUGUUCUGCCUGGAGCAGUUCAGGCUGAGCAUGGCUUCUCUGAGGCUUUGGGACCAGGAGAGGGUGAAGUGGCACCACCACCUUUCAAGGGGAACACAGAGCUCUAAGCAGUGCUCUUGUUUUUGGUGGGCCCAGCCAAGGAUCUUAAAACAUUUUGAUAGAAUGAGCAACAUGUAGCUGCAGCCUCGAUGGGUCAACAUUUUGGAUGAUAAAAGCACACAAUGCUGAUAGAUUUGUGCAUGACCAAGCAUACCUUUCAAGGAGCUCUCAGCGGAGGUUUGCCCUUUGAGACAGACACAGUCAGUGCACAGAAACUGUUUUUUUAAGAUAUCAUCCAGGAGUCAUUCCUAGAAUAGGAAUGGAAUAGACAUGCCUCCCUGAGAAGAAAGGAAGACAGAUUCUAUACUGUUAGAAUUUGAAUCUGUGUUGCAGGGAGAUGAGGAAUUUGAAGCCAGACUCUUGGGCUGUUAAUGUAUGGCUAAGUGGUGAUGUGGUGACAACCUUGAAUGCUAGUCCUGGAGGUCAAAUCACCAGCAGCUGGUGCCAUGGGAGGCUUUGCUUAGGGGACACGGCUGGGUUCUGCCUGGAUGCUGCAUCCCAAGGGAGGCAUUGAGGUGCGGCUGUGAGGACUCCAAACCCCAUGUCCAGAAGGAUGAGUAACAGAGAUCCUGUGUCAUUCAUUGAUUUCAAUAAAAUAUUUAUUGGAUCCAUAGCAUGGGCCUGGCAUUGACCAGUCAUCAAAACACAAUUCCCUGCCCUCAUGGAGUUUCUAUUCUAGACCAUGCGGGAGGAUAGGAGCAUAUGGACAGUAAACAAGAAAUCCAGUCCUUCCAUGAGACCUCGGUACACACAGAACUCCUCCUACCACGUGCAACCUUAUUCUCGGCUGAGCAACUCAUAAAUCGCAUAACAAAAAC
rnacentral:lncRNA from 1 species